GAUGAACGCUGGCGGCGUGCCUAAUACAUGCAAGUCGAGCGAAGCGGGGACGGGUGAGUAACACGUGGAUAACUUCCUAUAGGACUGGGUUAACUUCGGGAAACCGGAGCUAAACCGGAUACUUAUAGAUGGAUCCGCGCUGCAUUAGCUAGUUGGUAAGGUAACGGUCUACCAAAGCAACGAUGCCUAGCCGGCCUGAGAGGGGGGUCGGGCACACUGGAACUGGGACACGGUCCAGACUCCCACGGGAGGCAGCAGGAGGGGAUCUUCGGCAAUGGGGGGAAACCUGGCCAAGCAACGCCGCGGUAGUGAAAGAGGUUUUCGGGUCGUAAAGCUCUGUUGUUAAGGAAGCGGUACUUAACCAGAAAGGGACGGCUAACUACGUGCCAGCAGCCGCGGUAAUUC
rnacentral:rRNA from 1 species